rnacentral:rRNA from 1 species
GACGAACGCUGGCGGCGUGCUUAACACAUGCAAGUCGAACGGUAAGGCCCUUCGGGGUACACGAGUGGCGAACGGGUGAGUAACACGGGGGUGAUCGGCCCUGCACUUCGGGAUAAGCCGGGGAAACUGGGUCUAAUACCGGACAGGACUCCUGGCUGCACGGUUGGGGGUGGAAAGCUUUUGCGGUGUGGGAUGGGCCCGCGGGCUAUCAGCUUGUUGGUGGGGUAAUGGCAUACCAAGGCGACGACGGGUAGCCGGCAUGAGAGGGUGACCGGUCACACUGGGACUGAGAUACGGCCCAGACUCCUACGGGAGGCAGCAGUGGGGAAUAUUGCACAAUGGGCGCAAGCCUGAUGCAGCGACGCCGCGUGAGGGAUGACGGCCUUCGGGUUGUAAACCUCUUUCAGCUAUGACGAAGCGCAAGUGACGGUAGUAGCAGAAGAAGGACCGGCCAACUACGUGCCAGCAGCCGCAGUAA